CCUACGGGAGGCAGCAGUGGGGAAUUUUGGACAAUGGGCGAAAGCCUGAUCCAGCAAUGCCGCGUGCAGGAAGAAGGCCUUCGGGUUGUAAACUGCUUUUGUACGGAACGAAAAGGUCUGCCCUAAUACGGCGGGCUCAUGACGGUACCGUAAGAAUAAGCACCGGCUAACUACGUGCCAGCAGCCGCGGUAAUACGUAGGGUGCGAGCGUUAAUCGGAAUUACUGGGCGUAAAGCGUGCGCAGGCGGUGAUGUAAGACAGUUGUGAAAUCCCCGGGCUCAACCUGGGAAUUGCAUCUGUGACUGCAUCGCUAGAGUACGGUAGAGGGGGAUGGAAUUCCGCGUGUAGCAGUGAAAUGCGUAGAUAUGCGGAGGAACACCGAUGGCGAAGGCAAUCCCCUGGACCUGUACUGACGCUCAUGCACGAAAGCGUGGGGAGCAAACAGGAUUAGAUACCCUGGUAG
rnacentral:rRNA from 1 species